UACGUAGGGUCCGAGCGUUGUCCGGAAUUAUUGGGCGUAAAGAGCUCGUAGGCGGUCCGUUAAGUCGGAAGUGAAAUCUCAAGGCUCAACCUUGAAGUCGCUUUCGAUACUGGCGGACUUGAGGCAGGUAGGGGAAGGUGGAAUUCCUGGUGUAGCGGUGAAAUGCGUAGAUAUCUGGAGGAACACCGGUGGCGAAGGCGGCAUCCUGGACCGACACUGACACUGAGGAGCGAAAGCCAGGGGAGCAAACGGG
rnacentral:rRNA from 1 species